GAUGGUACGGUAUUGGCCUA
rnacentral:misc_RNA from 1 species